UAACCAUGCAGAUCCUUGUCAAAGUAGCAAAGGAGGGUUUUAAGUUCAGAGCAUUAAUAGUUUUAAAAAAUUUGGUGGAGCAGCUACGGCAUGAUUCAGUGUAAUAAUUCGAGCAGUCAAAUGCACCAUUCUGUGUAUGUGGAUAUUGCAGAGAGAUGCCAACAGACAGAAAGAGGGUGUGCUACAAAGAAAUACAAGAGUAGAACACUUGCACAUUCCAAAACAUUUGCUUGGACGCAGAUAAAUUGGCCACCUUCAUAAAGUUUUGGCAGAUACCUAUGUGUUUACACAAACAUAUGACAAUAGAGUGAUGAGGCAUGCAGCAUAUUGACAGUGUGUUAGUAGAUACAUAGCCAUGCAUGCCGUGUGUGGAAAAUUCGAAAAACAUCCUUCACCUGAUAGACAUUAUACCAGAUAUAGAGAUAUGCCUUGACCUAGAGGGUCAAGGGAGUGGGCAGUCAGGGUUUUAUAGUAGAAAAUUAAGCCCCGUUUACACGAGCAAAUUUUUUUUGACAAAUUUCAUUUGAUCAAAUACAUUUGAUCAAAAGCUAGCAUGCUGGCUUUUGUUCAAAUGCAUUUGUCACAAUAAAUUUGUCACAAAUUUAUCAUCUACACGAGCAAAAUAUCUUUGACAUAUGAAAUUUGUCAAAUAAAAUUUGCUCGUGUAAAUGGGGCUUUAUGGUUAUUUUGUUUCUAUGAUAUGGACAGAAUUGCACAAUUGUCCAUUUUAUCAAUUAUUGAAUAUAGCACAAAUAAAAUAUGUACAUUCACAAAUAGAAUUUAUAUAUAUCUGCUCUCUUUAUCCAUAAAUCUUUGCUUGUGGAGGCAUAAUUGUAGAUGAAGUUUUAUAUAAGAAUCCCA